rnacentral:rRNA from 1 species
GCACAUACUGUGAGCUCGAUGAGUAGGGCGGGACACGUGGUAUCCUGUCUGAAUAUGGGGGGACCAUCCUCCAAGGCUAAAUACUCCUGACUGACCGAUAGUGAACCAGUACCGUGAGGGAAAGGCGAAAAGAACCCCGGCGAGGGGAGUGAAAAAGAACCUGAAACCGUGUACGUACAAGCAGUGGGAGCCUCUUAAUGGGGUGACUGCGUACCUUUUGUAUAAUGGGUCAGCGACUUAUAUUCUGUAGCAAGGUUAACCGAAUAGGGGAGCCGAAGGGAAACCGAGUCUUAACUGGGCGUUAAGUUGCAGGGUAUAGACCCGAAACCCGGUGAUCUAGCCAUGGGCAGGUUGAAGGUUGGGUAACACUAACUGGAGGACCGAACCGACUAAUGUUGAAAAAUUAGCGGAUGACUUGUGGCUGGGGGUGAAAGGCCAAUCAAACCGGGAGAUAGCUGGUUCUCCCCGAAAGCUAUUUAGGUAGCGCCUCGUGAAUUCAUCUCCGGGGGUAGAGCACUGUUUCGGCAAGGGGGUCAUCCCGACUUACCAACCCGAUGCAAACUGCGAAUACCGGAGAAUGUUAUCACGGGAGACACACGGCGGGUGCUAACGUCCGUCGUGAAGAGGGAAACAACCCAGACCGCCAGCUAAGGUCCCAAAGUCAUGGUUAAGUGGGAAACGAUGUGGGAAGGCCCAGACAGCCAGGAUGUUGGCUUAGAAGCAGCCAUCAUUUAAAGAAAGCGUAAUAGCUCACUGGUCGAGUCGGCCUGCGCGGAAGAUGUAACGGGGCUAAACCAUG